rnacentral:tRNA from 1 species
GGGAUAUAGCUCAGUUGGUAGAGUGCUUGCCUAACAUGCACAAGGUCCUGGGUUCAAUCCCUGAUCCCA